GAUGAAGAACGCAGCAAAAUGCGAUAAGUAAUGUGAAUUGCAGAAUUCAGUGAAUCAUCGAGUCUUUGAACGCACAUUGCGCCCGCCAGUAUUCUGGCGGGCAUGCCUGUUCGAGCGUCAUUUCAACCCUCAAGCACAGCUUGGUGUUGGGACUCGCGUUAAUUCGCGUUCCUCAAAUUGAUUGGCGGUCACGUCGAGCUUCCAUAGCGUAGUAGUAAAACCCUCGUUACUGGUAAUCGUCGCGGCCACGUCGUUAAACCCCAACUUCUGAAUGUUGACCUCGGAUCAGGUAGGAAUACCCGCUGAACUUAAGCAUAUCAAUAAGCGGAGGA
rnacentral:misc_RNA from 1 species